UGCCUCAUGGCCUGCAGGAUAAAGUCCAA
rnacentral:piRNA from 1 species